GACGUAGGGGGCCAGCGUUGUUCGGAAUUACUGGGUGUAAAGGGUUCGUAGGCGGUGUGGCAAGUUGGGAGUGAAAUCUCUGGGCUCAACCCAGAGGCUGCUUCCAAAACUGCUGUGCUUGAGUGUGAGAGAGGCGCGUGGAAUUGCAGGUGUAGCGGUGAAAUGCGUAGAUAUCUGCAGGAACACCCGUGGCGAAAGCGGCGCGCUGGAUCACUACUGACGCUGAGGCACGAAAGCGUGGGGAGCAAACAGG
rnacentral:rRNA from 1 species